GGAAGGAUCAUUAACACAUUGUCCAUUUGAAGGUUGCAUUGAGAUUGUUUCCGCAAUUCUCAAUCAACCUUUCAAACCCCAUGCGAAUUGUUGGUAGUCACAACAAACACAAUGUUUUUUCAAACAUGGUUUAACAAACAGUUGAUUACUCGUGAUUCUCGAUCGGUAAUAUAAUCUCGUAUUGUAUUACUUGACUGAUUGUUUCAUGUUGAAACAAAAACAAAAACAAAACAAAAACCAAGACAACUUGUAACAGUGGAUACCUUGGUUCCCAGGUCGAUGAAGAGCGCAGCGAACUGCGAUAAGUCAUGUGAAUUGCAGAAUUCCGUGAAUCAUCGAACUCUUGAACGCAAAUUGCAUUUAGGUGUUGAGCCUAAAUGUGCCUGCUCGAGUGUCGGCAAUAAACAAUCGAAUUCAAUUUCGAUAUUGAGAGUUUAACAAUCUUGAUUGUUAAUCUCUUUAAAUGAAUGGAGUAUGAUUUCAUAUUGGUUGACUUCAAUGUCGAGCUUUUAUGAUUUUAAUCAUGCCAAGUGAAUUAAGUAGCUUCUGCUACAUUUCUUCCUUGGUUUUCGAAAUCAUAGAUAAGUGUAUGUUGAUCAACAUUAACAAUAUACGAAUCAUAAUUAAAACUCCUUGUCAAUGAUAUCUUUUUAACAACGAUAUUUGAGACACUUUUCAAACCUCGACCUCGAAUUAGGCAAGAUCACCCGGUGGACUUAAGCAUAUUAUUAACCGGAGGAAAAGAAACUAACAAGGAUGCCCUCAGUAACGGCGAGUGAAGCGGGCAGAGCUCAAAUUUAAAAUCUGGGUGAUUGCGAUCACUCCGAAUUGUAGUUUUUGGAUUGUCAGUCACGGAGCUGCUAACGGCGGGUGUAAGUUCUUUGGAACAAGGCGUCAGAGAGGGUGAGAACCCCGUAUGCGACCCCGCUAGUAGUUCAAUACGUGUCUGGCUUUUCACGAGUCGGGUUGUUUGGGAUUGCAGCCCUAAAUAGGUGGUAGAUCUCAUCUAAAGCUAAAUAUUCCUGGGAGACCGAUAGCGAAGAAGUAGUGUGAACGAAAGGUGAAAAGAACUUUGAAAAGAAGGUGAAAAGUACUUGAAGCUGUUCCAAGGGAACCGCAUGAAGCCAGUGACGGCUUGUGGUGAAUUCAGCUCGAUCGCUGGACGCAGUGUGGGACACACGGUGCUGUUAUGGUCCGGCGUGCCUAGCUGCCAGAGUGGCGGGUGUACUUUUGCCAUGAGCGAGUCAGCAUCAGUUUGGCCUGACGGAGAAAGGUGUGCGGAAGGUAGGUUAGGCUCUCGGGUCUAUCUGUUAUAGCCGCGCAUUGCAUACGUCGGGCUGGACUGAGGAAACAAAACGCAUGCCUCGGCGAGGUAGUGGGCCAGACGAGUCUGGUGGUAGCGUACGUCUGCUUGCAGGGUGCGCUGCCGAUUGGGCUCGCGAGGUUCACCCAUCGGUGCGUUCGGGAUGCUGACGAAAUGACUUCAUACGACCCGUCUUGAAACACGGACCAAGGAGUCUAACAUGUAUGCGAGUAUUUGGGUGGAAAACCCAGAGUGCGCAACGAAAGUGAGCGAUGUGAAGCCCUCGCAGGCCGCAACAUCGACCGACCGUGCUUAGGCUCGGAUCGCGUCAGAGCACACAUGAUGGGACCCGAAAGAUGGUGAACUUUGCGUGCGCAGGGUGAAGCCAGAGGAAACUCUGGUGGAGGCUCGUAGAGAUACUGACGUGCAAAUCGUUCUUCUGACGUGCGUAAAGGGGCGAAAGACUAAUCGAACCAUCUAGUAGCUGGUUUACAC
rnacentral:misc_RNA from 1 species